rnacentral:lncRNA from 10 species
CUGGUGUGGCCAGCCACAGCAGGAAGUGCCACAGAAUGGGGCACUUUCCUUACAGUUGUCCCCGGAGGUGUGCAUUUCACCCACAUCAUCUAAUAAUUCUCACCAAAUGCUCCCUGGAAGGAUGCAAGGAAUACUUACCGAAGCCUGAAAUGAAUAAUUUAGGUUUUUACAAAUGCCUGCCCUUCACCUGGAGGAAGUGUGCACAGUACUAAGGUGCAUGGGCUCGGCAGGCUGACUGCCUGGACUCAAAUGCCAGCUUAGCCACUCCCUGGCCCAGUAACCAGCCUGGGCCUCAGUUUCUCCAUUAAUAAAAAGAAGCAAAUACUUGUAGUACCAAGAUCACAGGGCUAAGGCUCUCUCCAUUUCUACCAUCUGGAUAUCAACACACAAGUGGAACUGGAAGCUGUGAGUUGAAGAUGGCCAACCUUCCAUCAUCCAGGCCCCCAUAACACCCAUGUCAGAACAGAGACUCCUGUUAACCUGGACCUUCCUUGGACUGUUUAUAUGAGCAAAAAUAAACUCCCAUAUGAGUAAGAAAAAAACUCCUGUAUGUUUUAGCAUUUAUACAUUUUUG